rnacentral:rRNA from 1 species
GACGUAGGGCGCGAGCGUUGUCCGGAUUUAUUGGGCGUAAAGAGCUCGUAGGCGGCUCGUUGCGUCGGCUGUGAAAACCCGCAGCUCAACUGUGGGCUUGCAGCUGAUACGGGCGGGCUGGGAUUCGGUAGGGGAGACUGGAAUUCCUGGUGUAGCGGUGGAAUGCGCAGAGAUCGGGAGGAACACCCGUAGCGAAGGCGGCACUCUGGGCCGGUACUGACGCUGAGGAGCGAAAGCGUGGGGAGCGAACAGG